CGGGGAUAGCCUUUCGAAAGAAAGAUUAAUACCCGAUGGCAUAAUAGAACCGCAUGGUUUGAUUAUUAAAGAAUUUCGGUUAUCGAUGGGGAUGCGUUCCAUUAGGCAGUUGGUGGGGUAAUGGCCCACCAAACCUUCGAUGGAUAGGGGUUCUGAGAGGAAGGUCCCCCACAUUGGAACUGAGACACGGUCCAAACUCCUACGGGAGGCAGCAUG
rnacentral:rRNA from 1 species